AGUGGUGUAAGUGGUAUUUUAGGAGGUGGUAGUGGACUUCUUGGUUCCAUUGGUGGUAUCGGAGGUCCAAUUGGUGGUGUUGUCAGAGGUUCUGUUGGUGUCAUUGGAGGAGGCAGCAAUGUUGUCAGUAGACCAAUUGGUAAAGGAGGAUAUUAUUAAGUAUUUCAAAUGUAACACGAACACGAAGAAAAACUUGUAAUGAAAUGCUUGAAAUUAGUAAAUUUGUUUUAUAAAUAUAAUCGCAAACCGA